UAUCUCUGUAGAGUCUGCAUAUCAAUAAGCGGAGGAAAAGAAACUAACAAGGAUUCCCUUAGUAACGGCGAGUGAAGCGGGAAGAGCUCAAAUUUGAAAUCUUCAAGGUUUUACCUUGACGAAUUGUAGUUUAAAGAAGUGUUUUCUGUUGAAGUUUCGGUAAAAGUUCUUUGGAAUAGGACAUCAUAGAGGGUGAGAAUCCCGUAUUUGACCGUUAUUUUCAGCUGUGUGAUACACUUUCAAAGAGUCGGAUUGUUUGGGAAUGCAGUCCAAAAUGGGUGGUAAAUUUCAUCUAAAGCUAAAUAUUGGCGAGAGACCGAUAGCGAACAAGUACCGUGAGGGAAAGAUGAAAAGAACUUUGAAAAGAGAGUUAAACAGUACGUGAAAUUGUCAAAAGGGAAGCGUUUGACACCAGUGUUGUUUUCUCGAAAAUCAAUUAAAAAUGGCUUGAUUUUGUGUUGUAUUGACCUUAAAAGCUUUCUUCACUUUUUUCAUGUCCUUUUUAAUGCACUUUUCGUUUAACAAGUCAACAUCAGUUUCUUUCGUUGUAAAAAGGUCAUUGGAAGGUGGCUUUCUUUUCGGAGAAAGUGUUUAUAGCCUUUGACUUCUGCAAUCGGAGAGAUUGAGGUCUGCAGCGUAGAUCCUUCUGGAUUAGAUUCAUUUGUGCUAAGUUACAACCGUUUAUAGACAACUUGUUGACUAUAUUCGAUCCUGUAGCUUACUCGCUUAUGUAAUUUUACCUACGCUUAGGAUGUUGAAGAUGUAGCACAUCAU
rnacentral:rRNA from 1 species